GUCUUCUGCUAACCGCUCCUAGUGGUUAGAGCCUCUGACUCGGAUGCGGGAGGUCUUGGGUUCGAUCCCCGAUCGAGACA